GAGGAAUAUUGGUCAAUGGACGGAAGUCUGAACCAGCCAAGUAGCGUGCAGGAAGACGGCCCUAUGGGUUGUAAACUGCUUUUGUAUGGGGAUAAAGUCAAUCACGUGUGAUUGUUUGCAGGUACCAUACGAAUAAGGACCGGCUAAUUCCGUGCCAGCAGCCGCGGUAAUACGGAAGGUUCGGGCGUUAUCCGGAUUUAUUGGGUUUAAAGGGAGCGUAGGCCGGAGAUUAAGUGUGUUGUGAAAUGUAGACGCUCAACGUCUGACUUGCAGCGCAUACUGGUUUCCUUGAGUACGCACAACGUUGGCGGAAUUCGUCGUGUAGCGGUGAAAUGCUUAGAUAUGACGAAGAACUCCGAUUGCGAAGGCAGCUGACGGGAGCGCAACUGACGCUGAAGCUCGAAGGUGCGGGUAUCGAACAGGAUUAGAUACCCUGGUAGUCCGCACAGUAAACGAUGGAUGCCCGCUGUUGGUACCUGGUAUCAGCGGCUAAGCGAAAGCAUUAAGCAUCCCACCUGGGGAGUACGCCGGCAACGGUG
rnacentral:rRNA from 1 species